rnacentral:rRNA from 1 species
UACAGAGGGUGCGAGCGUUGUUCGGAAUUAUUGGGCGUAAAGGGCGCGUAGGCGGUGCGGUAAGUCACCUGUGAAAUCUCCUGGCUCAACUGGGAGCUUGCAGGCGAAACUGCCGUGCUGGAGUGUGGGAGAGGUGCGUGGAAUUCCUGGUGUAGCGGUGAAAUGCGUAGAUAUCAGGAGGAACACCGAUGGCGAAGGCAGGUCUCUGGGCAGUAACUGACGCUGAGGAGCGAAAGCAUGGGGAGCGAACAGG